rnacentral:lncRNA from 1 species
UAAUUUGAACUUAUAGUAUAUAUAUUAUGUGAUAUAUUACAUGAUUAGUGGUAUGUGUUUUUAUGCAAUUAUAUAUAAUACUAGUAUAGUAAUCCGUACGAUGUGACCGAUAGAUAAUUAGAGAAAAAACAGAAAACAGAGACAAAGAAAAAGAAAACAUAAAUAGAAGAAGUGAUAAUACGGAGUUAUCUUACCGAUGAAGAAAGAUAACAACCGAAGGAAGUGGCAGAGGAAGAGUUCGGUUCAAUGCACAGAUGUGACUCGGCUCGGUUCAAACAAAAAAAAAAAAGGAAAGCCUGGUUUUAAGAAAGUGAAAAAUAUGUGGAGGACUUGACCAGUUCGAGAGAAUCCAUACUCAACAAUGAUUGGUUUGGUUCAAACAAAAAAAGAAAAAAAUUCAGUUCGGCUUAAGCACAAAAUAUAUAUANAUAUAUAUAUAUAUAUAUAUGUGAAGGAGUUGAGGUAGUUCGGGGUGGAGCCCACACCUAAUAAUAAAUGGAACAUUGUCACGUGAUAAAUUUAAAAGGAAUAAUGUAUAAGUACAGAAGUAUAGAUAAAUAGAUGUGUCUCGAUUUUCAAUGUAAUCUUAAUUAUUAUUUGUUGGUGAGGAUGGUGGUUAUGUGUAUUUAAGAGUAAUUAAUGUACGUGUAACAAUUGCAAAUUUUAUAUUUUUGUUUUGAACUUAUUACAUGAAUAUUUGCAUUUUAUGCUAUGGAUAGCGUACUGAUAUUCGUGUCCGAUCUAAACUCAAACCAUACCUAAUUUUAAGCGGAUAGUAUGCUGAUAUUCGUGUCCGAUCUAAACUCAAUCCAUACCUGAUUUUAAGCGGAUAGUAUACGAAUAGUCAUUAUCGUAACCCGCAUAAAUGGACUCGAUGGAUAUAUUAGUAGCUUUAAGUAUAUAAACUCGGAACAGCUCUGAAGUUGAAUUGGUAGCGUAUGUUUUUUUCUAUCAAUUUUUUUUUAGAAUAUAGGUACAGUAUAUUAAAUAUUCAGAUCUGACC